UUCUCUGUGACUCAAGGGGUUCUCAAACUUCAUUGCACUGUGACCCCCUUCUGACAACAAAAAUUAGUACACAACCCCAGGAGCGGGGACCAAAGC